UACGAAGGGGGCUAGCGUUGUUCGGAAUUACUGGGCGUAAAGCGUGCGCAGGCGGUUUUUCAAGUCAGAGGUGAAAGCCCCGGGCUCAACCCGGGAAUGGCCUUUGAGACUGGAUGGCUAGAGUGUGAGAGAGGUGAGUGGAAUUCCCAGUGUAGAGGUGAAAUUCGUAGAUAUUCGGCGGAACACCAGUGGCGAAGGCGGGUUGCUGGGCCGACACUGACGCUGAGGCGCGAAAGCCAGGGGAGCGAACGGG
rnacentral:rRNA from 1 species